rnacentral:rRNA from 1 species
GCUUGUCUCAAAGAUUAAGCCAUGCAUGUCUAAGUAUAAGUAGUAUACAGCGAAACUGCGAAUGGCUCAUUAAAACAGUUAUAGUUUAUUCGAUAGUAAAAUUACAUGGAUAACCGUGGUAAAUCUAUGGCUAAUACAUGCGCAAAGGCCCGACCCUGAAGGGCUGUAUUUAUUAGAUCUAACCAUCAUUUGGUGAAUCAUAGUAACUGAUCGGACCGUGCGUUAGCGCGGUAAAUCGUUCAAGUUUCUGCCCUAUCAGUUGUGGAUGGUAGGGUAUUGGCCUACCAUGACUUUAACGGGUAACGGAGAAUUAGGGUUCGAUUCCGGAGAGGGAGCCUGAGAAAUGGCUACCACAUCCAAGGAAGGCAGCAGG